rnacentral:rRNA from 1 species
CAGCAGCCGCGGGAAUACGAAGGGUGCAAGCGUUACUCGGAAUUACUGGGCGUAAAGCGUGCGUAGGUGGUGGUUUAAGUCCGUUGUGAAAGCCCUGGGCUCAACCUGGGAAUUGCAGUGGAUACUGGGUCACUAGAGUGUGGUAGAGGAUAGUGGAAUUUCCGGUGUAGCAGUGAAAUGCGUAGAGAUCGGAAGGAACAUCUGUGGCGAAGGCGACUAUCUGGGCCAACACUGACACUGAGGCACGAAAGCGUGGGGAGCAAACAGGAUUAGAUACCCGUGUAGUCCCUGUCUCUUAUCA